UACGGAGGGGGCGAGCGUUGUCCGAAGUUACUGGGCGUAAAGCGCGCGUAGGCGGGUUGGCAAGUCCGCUGUGAAAGCCCGGUGCUUAACGCCGGAGGGUCGGUGGAUACUGCCAGUCUUGAAGGUGCUAGGGGAAGAUGGAAUUACCAGUGUAGCGGUGAAAUGCGUAGAUAUUGGUAGGAACACCAGUGGCGAAGGCGGUCUUCUGGAGCACUCUUGACGCUGAGGCGCGAAAGCUGGGGGAGCAAACGGG
rnacentral:rRNA from 1 species